rnacentral:rRNA from 2 species
GGUAUCAGAAGUGCGAAUGCUGACAUAAGUAACGAUAAAGCGGGUGAAAAGCCCGCUCGCCGGAAGACCAAGGGUUCCUGUCCAACGUUAAUCGGGGCAGGGUGAGUCGACCCCUAAGGCGAGGCCGAAAGGCGUAGUCGAUGGGAAACGGGUUAAUAUUCCCGUACUUGGUGUUACUGCGAAGGGGGGACGGAGAAGGCUAUGUUGGCCGGGCGACGGUUGUCCCGGUUUAAGCGUGUAGGUGUGUGUUCCAGGUAAAUCCGGUUCACUUUAACACUGAGGCGUGAUGACGAGGCACUACGGUGCUGAAGCAACAAAUGCCCUGCUUCCAGGAAAAGCCUCUAAGCAUCAGGUAACAUCAAAUCGUACCCCAAACCGACACAGGUGGUCAGGUAGAGAAUACCAAGGCGCUUGAGAGAACUCGGGUGAAGGAACUAGGCAAAAUGGUGCCGUAACUUCGGGAGAAGGCACGCUGACACGUAGGUGAAGUGAUUUACUCACGGAGCUGAAGUCAGUCGAAGAUACCAGCUGGCUGCAACUGUUUAUUAAAAACACAGCACUGUGCAAACACGAAAGUGGACGUAUACGGUGUGACGCCUGCCCGGUGCCGGAAGGUUAAUUGAUGGGGUCAGCGCAAGCGAAGCUCCUGAUCGAAGCCCCGGUAAACGGCGGCCGUAACUAUAACGGUCCUAAGGUAGCGAAAUUCCUUGUCGGGUAAGUUCCGACCUGCACGAAUGGCGUAAUGAUGGCCAGGCUGUCUCCACCCGAGACUCAGUGAAAUUGAACUCGCUGUGAAGAUGCAGUGUACCCGCGGCAAGACGGAAAGACCCCGUGAACCUUUACUAUAGCUUGACACUGAACAUUGAGCCUUGAUGUGUAGGAUAGGUGGGAGGCUUUGAAGUGUGGACGCCAGUCUGCAUGGAGCCGACCUUGAAAUACCACCCUUUAAUGUUUGAUGUUCUAACGUGGACCCGUUACCCGGGUUGCGGACAGUGUCUGGUGGGUAGUUUGACUGGGGCGGUCUCCUCCUAAAGAGUAACGGAGGAGCACGAAGGUUGGCUAAUCCUGGUCGGACAUCAGGAGGUUAGUGCAAUGGCAUAAGCCAGCUUGACUGCGAGCGUGACGGCGCGAGCAGGUGCGAAAGCAGGUCAUAGUGAUCCGGUGGUUCUGAAUGGAAGGGCCAUCGCUCAACGGAUAAAAGGUACUCCGGGGAUAACAGGCUGAUACCGCCCAAGAGUUCAUAUCGACGGCGGUGUUUGGCACCUCGAUGUCGGCUCAUCACAUCCUGGGGCUGAAGUAGGUCCCAAGGGUAUGGCUGUUCGCCAUUUAAAGUGGUACGCGAGCUGGGUUUAGAACGUCGUGAGACAGUUCGGUCCCUAUCUGCCGUGGGCGCUGGAGAACUGAGGGGGGCUGCUCCUAGUACGAGAGGACCGGAGUGGACGCAUCACUGGUGUUCGGGUUGUCAUGCCAAUGGCACUGCCCGGUAGCUAAAUGCGGAAGAGAUAAGUGCUGAAAGCAUCUAAGCACGAAACUUGCCCCGAGAUGAGUUCU